UAAUGCCUACGGGACGCAGCAGUGAGGUAUAUUGGUCAAUGGGCGGGAGCCUGAACCAGCCAAGUCGCGUGAAGGAAGAAGGUACUUAGUAUUGUAAACUUCUUUUGUCGGGGAACAAAGGCGGAGACGCGUCUCCGGAUGAGUGUACCCGAAGAAAAAGCAUCGGCUAACUCCGUGCCAGCAGCCGCGGUAAUACGGAGGAUGCGAUCGUUAUCCGGAUUUAUUGGGUUUAAGGGGUGCGCAGGCGGGGAAUCAA
rnacentral:rRNA from 1 species